rnacentral:lncRNA from 1 species
GCCUAACAUAUAAUCCAUCUUACAGAAUGCUCCAUGUGCAGUUGGGAAGACCAUGUAUGCCAUAGCCAUUGGAUAGAAUGCCAGCAGACGGCGGAAUCACUGAGCUAAAUCCUCGGCCCUUGGUAUUAUUUGAUUUCUUGAUGAUGACUAUUCUUUCUGGGAGUCUCACUAUGUAGUCCAGGCUGGCCUCAAACUUGUGGCAAUCCUCCUGCCUCGGCCUCACAAGUGCUGGAAUUACAGAAAUGUGUCACCAUGCCCAGCAAAGUCUUUGUUUCUAGCACUACUACCAGCAACACCAUAACAAAAAGAAGAAUGAACUGAAAAUCACCUCUUCUUUGAAGAAAGAAAUCUUCAAUACUAAAUAGACUUCAAUACCAAUAGAAAUCUUCAAAACUAAAAAGGAAAGGGAAGAGAGAACCAAAAUAUGGAACAGUAUCUCCAAGAACUGUAGGACAAUUCCAAAAUGUCUAGGUAUGUGUCGUGAGAACACCAGAAGAAGAGAGAGAAAGAAACAGAAAAAAAUCCUUGACGCAUUAGUGACUGUGAAUUUCUGAGAAUUAAUACUAAACUGCAAACCACAGAUCCAGGAAGCUCAGAGAACACCAAGCAGGAUGAAUACCAAACUGAUAAGUGAGCCUUUGGAAUUGCUCAGUACAGCUGAGUUGGGGGAAGUCACCCACCAUCACAGGCUGUGUGUGUUGUCAUCAUCUGAGUGGGAGGUGGCAGAGGAGAGCAAUGAGGGUCUGGUGGACUCAAUGGG